GCACGUAGUUAGCCGGCGCUUCUUCUGCAGGGUACCGUCACUUUCGCUUCUUCCCUACUGAAAGAGGUUUACAACCCGAAGGCCGUCAUCCCUCACGCGGCGUCGCUGCAUCAGGCUUUCGCCCAUUGUGCAAUAUUCCCCA
rnacentral:rRNA from 1 species